rnacentral:lncRNA from 1 species
UUCUUGCUCUCGUGCUGGAUGUCAUCUCGGCAUAUCGGUCGGUUUAAGAUGAAUCCGGGGGAGGGAUGGAUAAAUCCUCCAUUGGCCGUUGACCUUUGAUUCUCUUAUCUGAACAGCUCUUAGGCUAAGAUUGAGUUGAAUCCGCUUCUCUUCCGUAUUCCUCAGCUCGACUUUCUGUUGCCGAAGCUGUCUUGAGGCCCUUUCUUUCCGGCUUCCUUGAGUCAGCUCGGUAGCUAGUCUAGUAAAAUAAAUAGCCUCUUCCCUUAACCUUAAUAGGGCUUGCUCCUUCUUCUCGUCCACUCGGGAAUGAAGCCUUACCUUUCGCUACUAACCUGUUAAAUGGAGUUGAGCUGGCUACAAAAAAAAUUGCUUCAGUGAUGGUUGCUUCAUCAAAUCAAAUAUAGGUGGCAGGGUCAGACUUUGAGAAAGAGUCCACAGCUGUCCAGUCAUAGUCAGUAGGAGCAGCUCCGGCUCAGCUCGAUAAAAUUUCCUUAACUCCGGCCUUGUAGUACCUCGCUAUCCUCUGUUGGUAAGUAGCCAUUCUGAACUGAGCUUGCUUUCUUAACUCUUAAAUUAGGUCGAAGUUGGUCCUCAACUCUUCUUCGUUGGAACCCACAUUUAGAAAAGUUCUGUUAGGUUCUUAGUAGCAGUCGGCGACCCUUUCUUCCUUAUUUUACUUC